rnacentral:misc_RNA from 1 species
AACAAGGCGUACCUGCGGACCUGCGGAGGGAUCAUUAUAGAGUGUAAACUCCCUAACCUUUGUGAACAUACCUGUUGCUUCGGCGGUCCUCACCGGCCGCCGAAGGCCUAUAUUCUUGAAUUUACAUGAAUUUCUGAGUAUCAAACAAAAAUAAAUAAAAACUUUUAACAAUGGAUCU